rnacentral:rRNA from 1 species
GUGGGGAAUAUUGGACAAUGGGCGCAAGCCUGAUCCAGCAAUGCCGCGUGGGUGAAGAAGGCCUUAGGGUUGUAAAGCUCUUUCACCGAUGAAGAUAAUGACGGUAGUCGGAGAAGAAGCCCCGGCUAACUUCGUGCCAGCAGCCGCGGUAAUACGAAGGGGGCUAGCGUUGUUCGGAUUUACUGGGCGUAAAGCGCACGUAGGCGGUUUGUUAAGUCAGGGGUGAAAUCCCGGAGCUCAACUCCGGAACUGCCUUUGAUACUGGCAAGCUAGAGUCCGGAAGAGGUAAGUGGAACUCCUAGUGUAGAGGUGGAAUUCGUAGAUAUUAGGAAGAACACCAGUGGCGAAGGCGGCUUACUGGUCCGGAACUGACGCUGAGGUGCGAAAGCGUGGGGAGCAAACAGGAUUAGAAACCCGGGUAGUCC